UACGAAGGGGGCUAGCGUUACUCGGAAUUACUGGGCGUAAAGCGCACGUAGGCGGAUCUUUAAGUCAGGGGUGAAAUCCUGGAGCUCAACUCCAGAACUGCCUUUGAUACUGAGGACCUUGAGUUCGGGAGAGGUGAGUGGAACUGCGAGUGUAGAGGUGAAAUUCGUAGAUAUUCGCAAGAACACCAGUGGCGAAGGCG
rnacentral:rRNA from 1 species